UACGGGGGGGGCAAGCGUUGUUCGGAAUUACUGGGCGUAAAGGGCUCGUAGGCGGCCAACUAAGUCGGAUGUGAAAUCCCCAGGCUUAACCUGGGAACUGCAUCCGAUACUGGAUGGCUUGAAUUCGGGAGAGGGAUGCAGAAUUCCAGGUGUAGCGGUGAAAUGCGUAGAUAUCUGGAGGAACACCGGUGGCGAAGGCGGCCUUCUGGACAGUGACUGACGCUGAGACGCGAAAGCGUGGGGAGCAAACAGG
rnacentral:rRNA from 1 species